UAAGAUUUCAUCUGCAUAAAAGGUUUGUAGGACCAACGGGUGCCUCCUCGCCUUGUGGAGCCUGGGUGGUUCCAGCUCCCGCGGCGCAGGGAAGGUGGCGGGGACCCCUCAGAUGCUGAGGUCGGUGCUGCACUCCUUGUAGGGCCGCCUGCGCUGCUCGGUUGGGUGCCGGCGGCUCGCCUCCUGCUUCCAGCUGGCAUCUUCCCUUUGCCGGUGGCCGGCCCGCUCUUCCCUGAGCCGCCGCUCGGGCGACCGCUCUCUCCGCCGGUCGGAUGACUUGGCUCGCCGAUCCAAGGAGUUCUCCCUUCUCCGCUCUGGUGACCUCCUGGGCUCUGUGAGUCUCUCCAGCGAGCGCCGGCGCCGGCCGGGUGACCGCUCCCUGCGUCUCUCUGGGGAGAGGUCUCUCCUCCUCUCGUGCCGCUCCCGUCUCUCCAGGGUGUUGUCGGCACUCCUCGUCCCUUCCCUGCGCUGCUUUUCGGGUGACCUCCUCUUCUGCCCAUUCACCGCCACCCUCUCCGGCUGCCUCUCGCGUCUCCUCUCCGGUGACCGCUCUGUCCUCCUGCCUGGCACGGUGUCGUUGGCUUUACAAGUCCCGUUCCAAGUGUGGUGUUCGUUGGGAUGUCUGCUAACCUCUCUGCUGCCUUUUAGGUCUCUAACGUAAGUCCGCUUGUCCCCAUGUUGUGAUGAUUUGUGAAGGUCUGGUGGAUAACUGGACUCCAAUGAUGGGUGCUGCCGUCGGUCGGAUGGCACGGGUUUCAUUUCCGAUACAUUUUGUGAACCUGUGGCGGGACUGUUCCUGUCACUGCUGGGGUCAUAUUCUGGGACAGAGCCAUCUCCACGUUUCAGAAACAGGCGGACCCUGCGGCCACCAUUUUUAAUCAGUUCGAUGGCCCGAGCAUGCUUCAUGUUCUUGGUAGUUUCCCCGUUGAUCUCUAGGAUUUCAUCACCAAUCCUCAUCUUCCCACAUCUCUCAGCUGGCCCAUCCUCAGCUAGCCGCAGCACGUACAGAUCCAUAUUAUACUCCCGGCCACCUCGCAGGCUGAAGCCAAACCCUUUGGCUCCUCUUUCCAGCUCAACAGUGUAAAAAUCCUGGUCCUGCUGGAAAGAAGACAACAUACGUGCAAUUGAACAGAAAGUUUAAUGCAUCUUGAAUUCUCACUUUGAAAUUAUUCAGCCAGUGAAUGUUAUUAUUUCUG
rnacentral:lncRNA from 1 species